rnacentral:rRNA from 1 species
GAUGAACGCUGGCGGCGUGCUUAACACAUGCAAGUCGAACGAGAAGUGGAGACGGAAACCUUCCGGCGGAAGACUUUAUUUCGAGUGGCGAACGGGUGAUUAACUCGUGGGUAACCUGCCUCAUCCAGGGGGAUAACAGUCUGAAACGACUGUUAAUACUGCAUAAGACCACACCACCGCAUGGUGCGGGGGUAAUAACUCCGGUGGUAUGAGAUGGACCCGCUUUCGAUUAGCCAGUUGGCGGGGUUAAGGCACACCAAAGCGACGAUCGGUAGCCGAGCUGAGAGAAUGGCCGGCCACAUUGAGACUGGGACGCAGCCCAAACUCCUACGCGAGGCAGCAGUGGGGAAUAGUGCAAAAUGGGGGGAACGCUGAUGCAGCGACGCCGCGUGAGUGAAGAAGUAUUGCAGUAUGUAAAGCGCUAUCAGCAGGGAAGAAAAUGACGGUACCUGAGCAAGAAGCCCCGGCUAACUACGUG